GACGAACGCUGGCGGCGUGCCUAAUACAUGCAAGUAGAACGCUGAAGCUUGGUGCUUGCACCGAGCGGAUGAGUUGCGAGCGGGUGAGUAACGCGUAGGUAACCUGCCUGGUAGCGGGGGAUAACUAUUGGAAACGAUAGCUAAUACCGCAUAAAAUGGAUUAUCGCAUGAUAAUCCAUUGAAAGGUGCAAAUGCAUCACUACCAGAUGGACCUGCGUUGUAUUAGCUAGUUGGUGGGGUAACGGCUCACCAAGGCGACGAUACAUAGCCGACCUGAGAGGGUGAUCGGCCACACUGGGACUGAGACACGGCCCAGACUCCUACGGGAGGCAGCAGUAGGGAAUCUUCGGCAAUGGACGGAAGUCUGACCGAGCAACGCCGCGUGAGUGAAGAAGGUUUUCGGAUCGUAAAGCUCUGUUGUAAGAGAAGAACGAGUGUGAGAGUGGAAAGUUCACACUGUGACGGUAUCUUACCA
rnacentral:rRNA from 1 species